rnacentral:rRNA from 1 species
CGGUAAUUCCAGCUCCAAUAGCGUAUACUAAAGUUGUUGCAGUUAAAAAGCUCGUAGUUGGAUUUCUGCGGGGACGGAGCGGCCGGUCGCAACUUGCGACUCGAGCUAGCGCUUUCCCCGCAUCCUGCCGCGAACCGUGCUACCAUUAGCUUGGUGGCGCUGGGGAUCGGCUCGAUUACUUUGAGAAAAAUAGAGUGUUCAAAGCAGGCCACACGCCUUGAAUAAGUUAGCAUGGAAUAAUGACUAAGGACUUCGGUUCUAUUUUGUUGGUGUUCGGGACUGAAGUAAUGAUUGAUAGGGACAGUUGGGGCGGUCUGUAUUCCAAAGCGAGAGGUGAAAUUCUUAGACCUUCGGAAGACAAACAGCUGCGAAAGCGUUCCGCAAGGAUGUUCCCUUUGAUCAAGAACGAAAGUUGGGGGAUCGAAGACGAUCAGAUACCGUCGUAGUCUCAACUAUAAACUAUACCAGCUAGGGAUCGGUCAACGUUUAAUCAUUCGACUUGAUCGGCACCUUAUGAGAAAUCAAAGCAUCUGGGUUCCGGGGGGAGUAUGGUCGCAAGGCUGAAACUUAAAGGAAUUGACGGAAGGGCACCACCAGCCGUGGAGCCUGUGGCUUAAUUUGACUCAACACGGGAAAACUUACCAGGUCCAGACAUAGUAAGGAUUGACAGAUUGAUAGCUCUUUCUUGAUUCUGUGGGUGGUGGUGCAUGGCCGUUCUUAGUUGGUGGAGUGAUUUGUCUGGUUAAUUCCGUUAACGAACGAGACCCCAGCCUGCUAAAUAGCGCGGCUGAGCUUUGCUCGGUGCGAGCUUCUUAGAGGGACUAUGAUGCGCGAUAGCACAUGGAAGUUUGGGGCAAUAACAGGUCUGUGAUGCCCUUAGAUGUUCUGAGCCGCACACGGGCUACACUGGCGCCUGCAACGAGCAUAUCAGCUGGCCCGAGAGGGUCUUGGCUAAUCUUUUGAACCGGCGCCGUGCUUGGGAUUGACCAUUGCAAUUGUUGGUCAUGCAACGAGGAAUGCCUUGUAAACGCGAGUCAUCAGCUCGCAUUGAAUACGUCCCUGCCCUUUGUACACACCGCCCGUCGCUCCUACCGAUGAAUGUUCCGAUGAAAUUUUCGGAGAGCGCCAGAGAACGGGGCUCUGCCUUGCAGAUCUGGAGGCUCAAAGUCACUUAAAUCUGAACAUUUCGAGGAAGGAGAAGUCGUAACAAGGUAACC